AUUGUGCAUCGUUCAGCACUUCGAAUAAAACACAUAGGUUCCACCGAGAUUUGAACUCGGGUCGCAGGAUUCAAAGUCCUGAGUGCUAACCGCUACACCAUGGAACCAACGAACACCUCAAAGCUUUUCGGCGAUUACGAUUUUAUCAGACUGCGGCGGUACGCGGUAACAAG
ensembl:ncRNA H08J11.6 ncRNA